rnacentral:rRNA from 1 species
UGGGGAAUAUUGGACAAUGGGCGAAAGCCUGAUCCAGCCAUGCCGCGUGUGUGAAGAAGGUCUUCGGAUUGUAAAGCACUUUAAGUUGGGAGGAAGGGCAUUAACCUAAUACGUUAGUGUUUUGACGUUACCGACAGAAUAAGCACCGGCUAACUCUGUGCCAGCAGCCGCGGUAAUACAGAGAGUGCAAGCGUUAAUCGGAAUUACUGGGCGUAAAGCGCGCGUAGGUGGGUUGUUAAGUUGGAUGUGAAGUCCCCGGGCUCAACCUGGGAACUGCAUUCAAAACUGACUGACUAGAGUAUGGUAGAGGGUGGUGGAAUUUCCUGUGUAGCGGUGAAAUGCGUAGAUAUAGGAAGGAACACCAGUGGCGAAGGCGACCACCUGGACUAAUACUGACACUGAGGUGCGAAAGCGUGGGGAGCAAACA